UAAGGGCGCACGGUGGAUGCCUUGGCACUAGAAGCCGAUGAAGGACGUUACUAACGACGAUAUGCUUUGGGGAGCUGUAAGUAAGCUUUGAUCCAGAGAUUUCCGAAUGGGGAAACCCAGCAUGAGUUAUGUCAUGUUAUCGAUAUGUGAAUACAUAGCAUAUCAGAAGGCACACCCGGAGAACUGAAACAUCUUAGUACCCGGAGGAAGAGAAAGAAAAUUCGAUUCCCUUAGUAGCGGCGAGCGAAACGGGAAGAGCCCAAACCAACAAGCUUGCUUGUUGGGGUUGUAGGACACUCUAUACGGAGUUACAAAGGACGACAUUAGACGAAUCAUCUGGAAAGAUGAAUCAAAGAAGGUAAUAAUCCUGUAGUCGAAAAUGUUGUCUCUCUUGAGUGGAUCCUGAGUACGACGGAGCACGUGAAAUUCCGUCGGAAUCUGGGAGGACCAUCUCCUAAGGCUAAAUACUCUCUAGUGACCGAUAGUGAACCAGUACCGUGAGGGAAAGGUGAAAAGCACCCCGGAAGGGGAGUGAAAUAGAACCUGAAACCGUGUGCUUACAAGUAGUCAGAGCCCGUUAAUGGGUGAUGGCGUGCCUUUUGUAGAAUGAACCGGCGAGUUACGAUUUGAUGCAAGGUUAAGCAGUAAAUGUGGAGCCGUAGCGAAAGCGAGUCUGAAUAGGGCGUUUAGUAUUUGGUCGUAGACCCGAAACCAGGUGAUCUACCCUUGGUCAGGUUGAAGUUCAGGUAACACUGAAUGGAGGACCGAACCGACUUACGUUGAAAAGUGAGCGGAUGAACUGAGGGUAGCGGAGAAAUUCCAAUCGAACCUGGAGAUAGCUGGUUCUCUCCGAAAUAGCUUUAGGGCUAGCCUCAAGUGAUGAUUAUUGGAGGUAGAGCACUGUUUGGACGAGGGGCCCCUCUCGGGUUACCGAAUUCAGACAAACUCCGAAUGCCAAUUAAUUUAACUUGGGAGU
rnacentral:rRNA from 1 species